UGAGUGGACAUGACCUUAGUACGAGAGGACCGGGUCGUACGUACCGCUGGUGUAUCUGUUGUGCCGCCAGGUGCAGUGCCGAGUAGCUAUGUACGGACAGGAUAAACGCUGAAAGCAUCUAAGCGUGAAACCUACCACAAGAUGAGUUUUCUUUUAAGGGUCGUCAGAGACUAUGACGUUGAUAGGCUAUAGGUAUAAAACUGGUAACAGUAAAGCCGAGUAGUACUAAUUGCCCGUAUGCUUUAAUUUU
rnacentral:rRNA from 1 species